GAUGGAAAUUGGUAAACAAUGUGUAGUUGACAUGGCCAGAGGAGAAAGGUAAGUUAAGAAAAUGUAUCAGAUUGAUCUUAUAAUAGAUGUUUGUAUGUAUUCAUAAAUUUAUGUAUGCAUUUUACAUGUACAUGUAAUUGUGUAUUUAUGAGAUUUGCUAUAUAUGUGUACAUUUGGAAGUGUAGGAUGGUGGCCUGGUGUUAAAUUUUAUUUAGUUUCUUAUACGUUUGCACGUUUGGUAUCUUUUCGAAUAAUUUAUUCGGCCCUUAAAAGUGCCUUUCGUGGUGUUCAUGUGAAAGGAGGGCAUUUUCUGUCUUGACGUAUCAUAUCGGUAGUGUAUGUGAUCUUCUGGAUUGCCUCCCUUGGACUGCGGGGGGGAUCAGUUUGUAGUUUGGUUGUUUCUAUAUUGUAGCUACACAAAGGUCUGUGUUUUCCCUUUUUUUGCUCUUUGUAGUUUCAUCAGGGGGACUCUCUGCAACUCAUUUUCUACUGCUUUCCAGUUUUUGUACUUAGAGCUACUUCCCUUAGACUAGCUAACCUAAUAUGUAGAGUUUCAACAUGAUAUAAUCUUAAUUAUUGUGACCUUAGGCUUCUGAUUUUUUUUUCUUGAAUUAUUGGAAUGGCAUUACUGCAUGUGUCACAUUUGACUUUUCUAAUAUUUACAUGUAACUACAUGUAAAAUUGUAAAACAUGUAUUCCACCCUUGACGGAUCCAUUUUUUAAGCAUUCAGCCAUGUAGAAGAUAUGUAAUUUGGUAAUUUUUCAGAAAACUUGAUAAAUAUUGCUGUUUUCUUUAUGAUUUAUGCAUAAUUUGACUAGAUUUAUUGAUUCAUUUUCAUUUAAACACUAUAGAGGACUUUCAUCUUUCAGCUUCCUCGGACCCGGGAGAGCUUGGUAUCUGAUCGGCAGGGGGGGGGGGGCAUUUUCUCUAUAUAAGAAGAAGAAGGAGACUCGCUACCCACCUGAUAUAUUUUGUCGGACAGAUUUCUGUACAUUGCAGUGACAACUGUAUCCAGAUUUCAUCACAGGAAUGAAAGUUUUUCACUCUUUGGAACAGUACCUGCAGCAGGGAGGGGUCAUUCAUUAAGAUGGUCACAGAUUCCAAGACACUGAAGUGACAGGCCUCAAAUUUCAUACUUGUAUAUUGGAAAAAGAGCACCAAAGACCCAGAUUUUGACAUCAUUUCCUGGUUGAACAAGAUGAAGCAGAGUAAUAAAUGGGUAGGCUUUACCUGAUUGGCUGAAUUCAGG